rnacentral:rRNA from 1 species
GACGAACGCUGGCGGCGUGCUUAACACAUGCAAGUCGAACGGCAAGGCCCUGCUUUUGUGGGGUGCUCGAGUGGCGAACGGGUGAGUAACACGUGAGUAACCUGCCCUUCACUUUGGGAUAACUUCAGGAAACUGGGGCUAAUACCGGAUAGCAUCUCCUGCUGCAUGGUGGGGGUUGGAAAGUUUCGGCUGUUGGGGAUGGACUCGCGGCUUAUCAGCUUGUUGGUUGGGUAGUGGCUUACCAAGGCUUUGACGGGUAGCCGGCCUGAGAGGGUGAACGGCCACAAUGGGACUGAGAUACGGACCAGACUCCUACGGGAGGCAGCAGUGGGGAAUAUUGCACAAUGGGCGGAAGCCUGAUGCAGCAACGCCGCGUGCGGGAUGACGGCCUUCGGGUUGUAAAACGCUUUCGCCUGUGACGAAGCGUGAGUGACGGUAAUGGGUAAAGAAGCACCGGCUAACUACGUG